GACGUAGGGCGCGAGCGUUGUCCGGAUUUAUUGGGCGUAAAGAGCUCGUAGGCGGCUUGUCGCGUCGACUGUGAAAUCCCGCGGCUCAACCGCGGGUCUGCAGUCGAUACGGGCAGGCUAGAGUUCGGUAGGGGAGACUGGAAUUCCUGGUGUAGCGGUGAAAUGCGCAGAUAUCAGGAGGAACACCAAUAGCGAAGGCAGCUCGCUGGGACGGUACUGACGCUAAGGCGCGAAAGCGUGGGGAGCGAACAGG
rnacentral:rRNA from 1 species